rnacentral:rRNA from 2 species
CUGGCUCAGGAUGAACGCUGGCGGCGUGCCUAAUACAUGCAAGUCGAACGAGUUCUCGUUGAURAUCGGUGCUUGCACCGAGAUUCAACAUGGAACGAGUGGCGGACGGGUGAGUAACACGUGGGUAACCUGCCCUUAAGUGGGGGAUAACAUUUGGAAACAGAUGCUAAUACCGCAUAGAUCCAAGAACCGCAUGGUUCUUGGCUGAAAGAUGGCGUAAGCUAUCGCUUUUGGAUGGACCCGCGGCGUAUUAGCUAGUUGGUGAGGUAAUGGCUCACCAAGGCGAUGAUACGUAGCCGAACUGAGAGGUUGAUCGGCCACAUUGGGACUGAGACACGGCCCAAACUCCUACGGGAGGCAGCAGUAGGGAAUCUUCCACAAUGGACGCAAGUCUGAUGGAGCAACGCCGCGUGAGUGAAGAAGGCUUUCGGGUCGUAAAACUCUGUUGUUGGAGAAGAAUGGUCGGCAGAGUAACUGUUGUCGGCGUGACGGUAUCCAACCAGAAAGCCACGGCUAACUACGUGCCAGCAGCCGCGGUAAUACGUAGGUGGCAAGCGUUAUCCGGAUUUAUUGGGCGUAAAGCGAGCGCAGGCGGUUUUUUAAGUCUGAUGUGAAAGCCCUCGGCUUAACCGAGGAAGCGCAUCGGAAACUGGGAAACUUGAGUGCAGAAGAGGACAGUGGAACUCCAUGUGUAGCGGUGAAAUGCGUAGAUAUAUGGAAGAACACCAGUGGCGAAGGCGGCUGUCUGGUCUGUAACUGACGCUGAGGCUCGAAAGCAUGGGUAGCGAACAGGAUUAGAUACCCUGGUAGUCCAUGCCGUAAACGAUGAAUGCUAGGUGUUGGAGGGUUUCCGCCCUUCAGUGCCGCAGCUAACGCAUUAAGCAUUCCGCCUGGGGAGUACGACCGCAAGGUUGAAACUCAAAGGAAUUGACGGGGGCCCGCACAAGCGGUGGAGCAUGUGGUUUAAUUCGAAGCAACGCGAAGAACCUUACCAGGUCUUGACAUCUUUUGAUCACCUGAGAGAUCAGGUUUCCCCUUCGGGGGCAAAAUGACAGGUGGUGCAUGGUUGUCGUCAGCUCGUGUCGUGAGAUGUUGGGUUAAGUCCCGCAACGAGCGCAACCCUUAUGACUAGUUGCCAGCAUUUAGUUGGGCACUCUAGUAAGACUGCCGGUGACAAACCGGAGGAAGGUGGGGAUGACGUCAAAUCAUCAUGCCCCUUAUGACCUGGGCUACACACGUGCUACAAUGGAUGGUACAACGAGUUGCGAGACCGCGAGGUCAAGCUAAUCUCUUAAAGCCAUUCUCAGUUCGGACUGUAGGCUGCAACUCGCCUACACGAAGUCGGAAUCGCUAGUAAUCGCGGAUCAGCACGCCGCGGUGAAUACGUUCCCGGGCCUUGUACACACCGCCCGUCACACCAUGAGAGUUUGUAACACCCGAAGCCGGUGGCGUAACCCUUUUAGGGAGCGAGCCGUCUAAGGUGGGACAAAUGAUUAGGGUGAAGUCGUA